UUUAACACUUGCGCAGGCUGAACGGAGAGAAGGGCUGAAAAGCAGGAGCUGGCUCAUCAGGCCAUGUUCACUAACAGCCAAAGGGCCCCCUAGACACUGUGACUCCCUGAGCAGAUACUCCUGGCCUAGGGUGGGGGCCAGCUCUCCCUGGUUCUACUUCCAAGGUGUUUGCCAGUAAGAGAUGGGCAGGCUGGGGAUUUAGCUCAGUGGUUCUGGCGCCUGGCCUCACAAGCUAGAGGUCCCAAGUUUGAUCCCCGGUACAAAAAAAAAAGAGAGAGAGAGAGAGAGAGAGAUGGGCAAAGCCCCAUAUCUGAGAAUACCUCUUGGGUCAGACAUUGCAAAACAAAUAAGAAGACAAUAUAGACCUUUUUCUUUUUUUUUCCCCCGAUACUGGGGAUUGAACUCAGGAUCUUGCACUUGCCAGGUAGGUGUGGUGCCACUGAGCUACAUCAGCCCUUGAGCUUUGGACUAUGAGUUCACAGACCUAAAUAGAACUCUGUGCUGCUGCUCCCAGUCUCAAUUUUCUUGUCUGAAAUGUGAAGCAAUUGAAUCCAAAGACUGCUCAAGUCCAUUCUAUCACUAAACUGGUGAGUCCCCAGGUACAAGUCUGAUGUCAUCAACUAGGUUUUGACCUUCAUGGAGGUGGUGCAUGGGUGCAGGAUAAGUACUCAAUAAAUGAUUCAUUCAUUUGCUCACAAUGGAGGGCAUUCCAAGGAAUCCCAUGGGGAUCCCAGUCUGAGAGGUUUGGGUACAGCCUUACCCAUGGCACUUCACCGGCCACUACACCUACUUAUUGCUACAGAGGACCAUAGGUCAUAGAAGUCUGUGUCUGCAGUGGUAUGGAGGGGCCCUGUAUCAUUCAGCCCUGGGUGAAGCCUGAGUUACAUGAUCACGGGCAAGGUGCCUGAGCUCUCCAAGAUCAGAUACUCUGUCAGUGGAUUUAUCACCUAAGAAUCCAGGAUCAGUCACAACAGACCUUCGGAAAAGCACCUGGAAGCUUUCUUCACACUCAUACUCCACUGCUCUUGAAGGCCAGGAGGCACCACCGUUACUAGCACUUCUCUUUUGAAAUAUUCUUCCCUCCAAGCCUCCAUGCAAUUUGUAUCAAAUGUUCUAGUAGAGUAGGCAAGAGACCUAGGUUAUUGGAUAUUUGUCAAAUUCAAUAAAAGGCACGGAGUAGCUCUAGGCUCCUUGUGUUCUCUGGUUUGUUACUG